AUAGAGUGGGACAUCCUAGGGAGCUUGCCGGUACUAAGCCGGAGGAAGCGGGGAAGGAGGUAAAUUCUCCAGGCCCUUAUGGCCUUGGCUACCCCCGUUGCACAAUUGGCGGUAACAGGGGGUCGCUAGCCGGUGACGCCAAGCUAUUCUGAGAAACCCAGUUUCAGUUGGGAUGGUAGGCUGCAACUCGCCUACUUGAAUUCGGAAUCGUUAGUAAUCGCGGAUCAGCAUAUCGCGGUGAAUACGUUCCCGGGCCUUGUACACACCGCCCGUCACACCACGAGAGCCGGAAGC
rnacentral:rRNA from 1 species